GAUGAACGCUGGCGGCGUGCCUAAUACAUGCAAGUCGAGCGAACAGACGAGGAGCUUGCUCCUCUGACGUUAGCGGCGGACGGGUGAGUAACACGUGGAUAACCUACCUAUAAGACUGGGAUAACUUCGGGAAACCGGAGCUAAUACCGGAUAAUAUAUUGAACCGCAUGGUUCAAUAGUGAAAGACGGUUUUGCUGUCACUUAUAGAUGGAUCCGCGCCGCAUUAGCUAGUUGGUAAGGUAACGGCUUACCAAGGCAACGAUGCGUAGCCGACCUGAGAGGGUGAUCGGCCACACUGGAACUGAGACACGGUCCAGACUCCUAAGGGAGGCAGCAGUAGGGAAUCGGCCGCAAUGGGCGAAAGCCUGACGGAGCAACGCCGCGUGAGUGAUGAAGGUCUUCGGAUCGUAAAACUCUGUUAUUAGGGAAGAACAAAUGUGGAAGUAACUAUGCACGUCUUGACGGUACCGAAUCAGAAAGCAACGGCUAACUACGUG
rnacentral:rRNA from 1 species